CAUGUCUGCAGCUUCGGUCAGUGCGUCUGUUGGUAACUGGGAUUUUGUUUAAGAAACAAAAGAAAAAUUAGUGGUUAAUUUGAUUUUUGUUUUAAAAUAGAAGAAUUCAAAUUGAAUUUCAAG